rnacentral:hammerhead_ribozyme from 1 species
AUCCAACUGACAAGUCCCAAACAGGACGAAACGCGCAUCCUGGAU